GGGAGAUAGUCUGUUACCCCUCGCUAAUGCAUAAUUAUUAUUACCUUCUCAUGACCAUGAAAAUUAGAAGCGCUGCAUUUGAUUCAUUCUGGUUGAACCAGAGAUGGGGAGAAUAUUCUGCUGUGAUUGCUCAGUCAUACUGACCCUGAGAAAAAGCCAAAAAAAAAAAAGAGGCCCUUCAGCAUAUGUUUCUAAAACGGUUUCACUCAAUAAAGCACUAGUGCACUGCACAGAGAGCUGCUGCCCACCGCCAGUUCUGAGUGCUUUGCCUCUGAAUCUGCUUUUGUUUAUGUCUUCUGAUUUCCUUCUAAUUCUCAUUUUCAGUUUGUUUGCGUAAUUAAUAAUGACCUUAUGCACUUAAACCCCUCAUAGAGUGUCCCAAACUUGACUUCAAUUUAAUGCAGUUUCGGUUUUUGGUUUGUGAAUGAACUGCUUGUUAACCCCCAGGCACAACUCAAAAGUUCAUUAUUCCCGAAAUUUCCACUCAUAGAGAGCCAGGGAGAAAAGACUGACACCAGAAUAAAAUCAGGAAUCCACAGAUAAGUUGUGUUUACUUUUCAAGCAGAAACUUUCCAAGCCACGUAGUAAACAUUUUGCUUAAAACUACUUCUAUUUUACUUACUUCUAAUGCAUUUAUUAAUCUCUCUGUAACUCUACCGUCGGUAAGUCCAAAGGAGAGCGUAAUGAGGCUGCAGAAAUGUAUGCUCAUGCUGCUCCGUUUCGUAAGCUGCUUCCGGUAGGCCAGGAUUACAAUUUGAAUUUUCAUCUAUUAAACACCUCGUGCUGCAGACCCUUUUCUGUGACCGUGAAAGGUGUCCGGACACGUUCAUUGUGGCGAGUUUCCAACUUUGCACAAACACUGAAAAGCAAUCUUGCUGGAAGCGGGCAGUUUAGUAUGACUCGGCUAUUAAUUUUUAAGGAGGAGGUUCUGUGAUCUGUGACGAGACCAGUAUUGUAAUUGACAGGAGGAACUACCAACUGCUCAUGCAGAUAUUUGAACCACUUAAGAUGUCUUCAUCCGCGAUUAAAUAUAUAUAUCUGUAUCUCUGUAUGUACGUAUAUCUUAAAAAUUCCCAGCAGUGGGGUGUCCUUUUCGUAGCGUUCACAGCACACUCUGCCGGCUGCUACCUAAAGAAGGCUACAGGCUGCAUUUGUUCUCUCCGGGCUCUCGCAUCACGCGCAACCAUUAAAGGUAGCGGCGGGAAUGACGGUAAGCGAGUCCGCCGGUGCCAUGCUGAGCGUGGCGCGGGUAACCC
rnacentral:lncRNA from 14 species